CACUCCUGCGGGAGGCAGCAGUGGGGAAUAUUGGACAAUGGGCGCAAGCCUGAUCCAGCCAUGCCGCGUGAGUGAUGAAGGCCCUCGGGUUGUAAAGCUCUUUCACCGGUGAAGAUAAUGACGGUAACCGGAGAAGAAGCCCCGGCUAACUUCGUGCCAGCAGCCGCGGUAAUACGAAGGGGGCUAGCGUUGUUCGGAUUUACUGGGCGUAAAGCGCACGUAGGCGGACUAUUAAGUCAGGGGUGAAAUCCCGGGGCUCAACCCCGGAACUGCCUUUGAGACUGGUAGUCUUGAGUUCGAGAGAGGUGAGUGGAAUUCCGAGUGUAGAGGUGAAAUUCGUAGAUAUUCGGAGGAACACCAGUGGGGAAGGCGGCUCACUUGCUCGAUACUGACGCUGAGGUGCGAAAGCGUGGGGAGCAAACAGGAUUAGAAACCCCAGUAGUCCCAUG
rnacentral:rRNA from 1 species